rnacentral:lncRNA from 1 species
CCAGAGUUGACACAAGUCACAUGCAAUCAAGUCUGUAUCCCUGGUGGACAGGCACUGUCCUAAUGUUCUCUGACUCACACCCAGGUUGUUUGCAGCUCAGCAGUUCUGCUUCCAGACACAUCACUUUGUGUUCUGAUGCUAACAUCUUGCUGAGAAAUUGCCUCUUGGCACGCUGUUUCUUGAAUCCUGUACCUUGCUUGAUUUGAUGUGAAGAUGAUGCUCUUUUUAGCACUUGCAACAUGUCACCUUUGAGAAGGGAAGUGCUGAGUCUUUGAAGCCUUCUUACCAUCACCCAAGUGGGACAGGUGUGCACCCCAAUCUCAAAUCAUCCCAGGCCAUUUGUGCUCUGAAUGCUGCAACUACCAAAUGACAGCGAGGCGUUACAGACUUCUCAGUCACUUCAGUGUCCACCCCAACAGCUCUUGCAAUGGAUGGUAGGUAACUUAGG